GGACUGGGAUAACCCUGGGAAACUGGGGCUAAUACCGGAUAGGCAAUUAUUCCUGCAAUGGUUUUUUGUUUAAAUGUUUUUUCGCCUAAGGAUGGGUCUGCGGCCGAUUAGGUAGUUGGUUAGGUAAUGGCUUACCAAGCCGUUGAUCGGUACGGGUUGUGAGAGCAAGAGCCCGGAGAUGGAACCUGAGACAAGGUUCCAGGCCCUACGGGGUGCAGCAGGCGCGAAACCUCCGCAAUGUGAGAAAUCGCGACGGGGGGAUCCCAAGUGCCAUUCUUAACGGGAUGGCUUUUCAUUAGUGUAAAAAGCUUUUGGAAUAAGAGCUGGGCAAGACCGGUGCCAGCCGCCGCGGUAACACCGGCAGCUCUAGUGGUAGCAAUUUUUAUUGGGCCUAAAGCGUCCGUAGCCGGUUUAAUAAGUCUCUGGUGAAAUCCUGUAGCUUAACUGUGGGAAUUGCUGGAGAUACUAUUAGACUUGAGACCGGGAGAGGUUAGAGGUACUCCCAGGGUAGAGGUGAAAUUCUGUAAUCCUGGGAGGACCGCCUGUUGCGAAGGCGUCUAACUGGAACGGUUCUGACGGU
rnacentral:rRNA from 1 species